rnacentral:rRNA from 1 species
GACGAACGCUGGCGGCGUGCUUAAUACAUGCAAGUCGAACGAUGUGGCGAACGGGUGAGUAAUACGGGGGUACCCUGCCCUCCUCUAUGGGAUAAGCCUUGGUAACGGGGUCUAAUACCUAAUACAGGGGCAUGGGCUCGCGGCCUAUCAGCUUGUUGGUGGUGUGAUGGCUUACGAAGGCGGUGACGGGUAGCCGGGCUGAGAGGGUGAACGGCCACAUUGGGACGGAGAUACGGCCCAGGCUCCUACGGGGGGCAGCAGUGUGGGAUAUUGCAGAAUGGGCGAAAGCCUGAUGCAGCGACGCCGCGUGGGGGUUGAGGGCUUUAGUGUUGUAAACCUCUUUCGCUAUCGAGCGGGGAGGUGAAGAAGAAGCGCCGGCUAACUACGGGCCAGCAGCCGCGGUAAUUC